CUCAUAAUAUGCAGAGCGGAAAUUUCUCUGAGGGUCGUCAGCCAUCCUUUGAGCUGGUCAGUGAACUACACAAAAACCUUCAGUGUGACGUUUGGGCUGCAUUAGCUGUGGGAUAAAGAGACGUAAAGCUGCUACAGACAAACACCACAACACUCGCUCCUUCACCCUGUCCGCUUCCUCAGCCAGCUGCCGCCGCAGCUGUUCUAUCUCAUGGUCCUUAUUUGCCACACUCUUCUCCAACUCCACCUUGGACCAGCUGACUGUCUCCAGCUCCUUCUGCCUCUUCCUCACCACCGACUCAUACUCCUCCUGCUGCUGAGUAUAGCGCUCCUCUGCCAGCCUCCUCUUCCUUUUUUCUUCCUCAACAGCUGGUCCUGCGACAGGGAAAGCUGCAGCUGGUAGCGGGCAACAGUCUCUUCCAGAGAUUUGUUCUUGGUGUUGCAGUCUUGGACGUCCUCCCUCAGUGCCCGAAGUUCUUCCUCUAACAGGUCGAUCCUGGUGUUACG